GUUGCCGGCCUUACCACCCUGAGCACGCCCAAUCUUAUCUGAUCUCAGAUGCUAAGCAGGGCCAGACCUGGUUAGUACAUAGGUGGGAGGCUGCCUGGAAAUACCAGGUGCUGGAAGCU
rnacentral:rRNA from 1 species